rnacentral:rRNA from 1 species
GAGUUUGAUCCUGGCUCAGGAUGAACGCUAGCGGCAGGCCUAAUACAUGCAAGUCGAGGGGUAACAGGAAGUGCUUGCACUUCGCUGACGACCGGCGCACGGGUGAGUAACGCGUAUACAAUCUGCCUCAUACUAGAGGAUAGCCCGAAGAAAUUUGGAUUAAUACUCUAUAGUAUCAUUUAAAGACAUCUUUUUAUGAUUAAAGGUUACGGUAUGAGAUGAGUAUGCGUUCUAUUAGUUUGUAGGUGAGGUAACGGCUCACCUAGACUGCGAUAGAUAGGGGCCCUGAGAGGGGGACCCCCCACACUGGUACUGAGACACGGACCAGACUCCUACGGGAGGCAGCAGUAAGGAAUAUUGGUCAAUGGACGGAAGUCUGAACCAGCCAUGCCGCGUGCAGGAUGAAUGCCCUAUGGGUUGUAAACUGCUUUUAUAUAGGAAGAAAAACUUUCUCGUGAGAAAGCUUGACGGUACUAUAAGAAUAAGCAUCGGCUAACUCAGUGCCAGCAGCCGCGGUAAUACGGGGGAUGCAAGCGUUAUCCGGAAUCAUUGGGCGUAAAGCGCCUGUAGGUUGUUUGUUAAGUCUGUUGUUAAAGGCUAGGGCUCAACCCUAGAAAUGCGAUGGAAACUAAUAGACUAGAGUAUGGUAGGGGUAGAGGGAAUUUCUAGUGUAGCGGUGAAAUGCGUAGAUAUUAGAAAGAACACCGGUGGCGAAGGCGCUCUACUGGACCAUUACUGACACUCAGAGGCGAAAGCUAGGGGAGCAAAAGGGAUUAGAUGCCCCUGUAGUCCUAGCCGUAAACGAUGGAUACUAGAUGUUGCGCAUUACGUGCAGUAUCGUAGCUAACGCGUUAAGUAUCCCGCCUGGGGAGUACGCUCACAAGGGUGAAACUCAAAGGAAUUGACGGGGGCCCGCACAAGCGGUGGAGCAUGUGGUUUAAUUCGAUGCAACGCGAAGAACCUUACCAGGGCUUGACAUACUACAGAUCCCUUUGAAAAAAGGGAGUGCCUUCGGGAAUGUAGAUACAGGUGGUGCAUGGCUGUCGUCAGCUCGUGUCGUGAGAUGUUGGGUUAAGUCCCGCAACGAGCGCAACCCUUAUUUUUAGUUACUAAUUCGUUGGGUUCUCUAGAAAGACUGCCGGUGACAAACCGGAGGAAGGUGAGGAUGAUGUCAAGUCAGCAUGCCCCUUAUGUCCUGGGCUACACACGUGCUACAAUGGCUAAGACAAAGAGUCGCAAGCUCGCGAGAGUCAGCUAAUCUCAUAAACUUAGCCCAAGUUCAGAUUGCAGGCUGCAACUCGCCUGCAUGAAGUUGGUAUCGCUAGUAAUCGCUGGUCAGCCAUACAGCGGUGAAUCCGUUCCCGGGCCUUGUACUCACCGCCCGUC